rnacentral:tRNA from 2 species
GGCCCGUUCGAUCAGCACCGCGUUGAUGGCCUCCUGCGCCAUCGCGCGGCCGUACGGGAUCUUCGCGGCGUCGAUCACCUCGACGUGCGGGCCG